GCAGUACUCCCUCCGUUCGGAAUUACUUGUCGCAAAAAUGAAUGUAUCUAGACGUAUUUUAGUUCUAGAUACAUCCAUUUCCAAGACAAGUAAUUCCAAAUGGAGGGAGUAGAUC
rnacentral:pre_miRNA from 1 species